rnacentral:tRNA from 1 species
GUGGGUAUAGCUUAGUGGUAGAGCAUGUGCUUGGCAUGCAUGAGGUCCUGGGUUUAAUCCCCAGUGCCUCCG